rnacentral:rRNA from 1 species
GACGAACGCUGGCGGCGUGCUUAACACAUGCAAGUCGAACGAUGAACCCGGAGCUUGCUCCGGUGGAUUAGUGGCAAACGGGUGAGUAACACGUGAGUAACCUGCCCUUGACUCUGGGAUAACUGCGGGAAACUGUAGCUAAUACCGGAUACGACCCUCGGCGGCAUCGCCAGGGGGUGGAAAGAAUUUCGGUCAAGGAUGGAGUCGCGGCGUAUCAGCUAGUUGGUGAGGUAACGGCUCACCAAGGCGACGACGGGUAGCCGGCCUGAGAGGGUGACCGGCCACACUGGGACUGAGACACGGCCCAGACUCCUACGGGAGGCAGCAGUGGGGAAUAUUGCACAAUGGGCGCAAGCCUGAUGCAGCAACGCCGCGUGAGGGAUGACGGCCUUCGGGUUGUAAACCUCUUUUAGUAGGGAAGAAGCGAAAGUGACGGUACCUGCAGAAAAAGCACCGGCUAACUACGUGCCAGCAGCCGCAGUAA